rnacentral:rRNA from 1 species
UACGGAGGGUGCAAGCGUUAAUCGGAAUUACUGGGCGUAAAGCGCACGCAGGCGGUUUGUUAAGUCUGAUGUGAAAUCCCCGGGCUCAACCUGGGAACUGCAUUUGAUACUGGAAAGCUUGAGUCUAGUAGAGGGAGGUAGAAUUCCAGGUGUAGCGGUGAAAUGCGUAGAGAUCUGGAGGAAUACCAGUGGCGAAGGCGACCCCCUGGGCGAAGACUGACGCUCAGGUGCGAAAGCGUGGGGAGCAAACAGG